rnacentral:rRNA from 1 species
CACGUAGGGCGCAAGCGUUGUCCGGAAUUAUUGGGCGUAAAGAGCUCGUAGGCGGUUUGUUACGUCUGCUGUGAAAACCUAGGGCUUAACCCUGGGCUUGCAGUGGAUACGGGCAGACUAGAGGUAGGUAGGGGAGAAUGGAAUUCCUGGUGUAGCGGUGAAAUGCGCAGAUAUCAGGAGGAACACCGGUGGCGAAGGCGGUUCUCUGGGCCUUACCUGACACUGAGGAGCGAAAGCGUGGGGAGCGAACAGG